GAUUGAUGAGAAGCUUGCUUCUCUGAAAGUUAGCGGCGGACGGGUGAGUAACACGUAGGCAACCUGCCUGUAAGACUGGGAUAACUACCGGAAACGGUAGCUAAUACCGGAUAGCUGGUUUUCUCGCAUGAGAGAAUCAUGAAAGACGGAGCAAUCUGUCACUUAUGGAUGGGCCUGCGGCGCAUUAGCUAGUUGGUGAGGUAAUGGCUCACCAAGGCGACGAUGCGUAGCCGACCUGAGAGGGUGAACGGCCACACUGGGACUGAGACACGGCCCAGACUCCUACGGGAGGCAGCAGUAGGGAAUCUUCCGCAAUGGACGAAAGUCUGACGGAGCAACGCCGCGUGAGUGAUGAAGGUUUUCGGAUCGUAAAGCUCUGUUGCCAGGGAAGAACGUCUUGGAGAGUAACUGCUCUAAGAGUGACGGUACCUGAGAAGAAAGCCCCGGCUAACUACGUGCCAGCAGCCGCGGUAAUACGUAGGGGGCAAGCGUUGUCCGGAAUUAUUGGGCGUAAAGCGCGCGCAGGCGGCUAUGUAAGUCUGGUGUAUAACCUCGGGGCUCAACCCCGGGUCGCACUGGAAACUGUGUAGCUUGAGUACAGAAGAGGAGAGUGGAAUUCCACGUGUAGCGGUGAAAUGCGUAGAUAUGUGGAGGAACACCAGUGGCGAAGGCGACUCUCUGGGCUGUAACUGACGCUGAGGCGCGAAAGCGUGGGGAGCAA
rnacentral:rRNA from 1 species